UUCAACUAGAUAUCCACUGACCUCCGUAUUUUAUCAUUAUUGAAACUAAAACUGAAGUUGAAGCCGUUAUUUUGUAUCAAUUUUGAGCAAAUUUACAAUGGAAAAAAAUUAUAGGAAGCUAAUUGAAUGCAGAUUUUUGGAGACUUUAUACAAAAUUUAUGGAAUAAGAAAGAUUAAUUGAAGUAUCGAAAGAGGUAAAAGAAUGGAGGUUUGGGAGUUUGAAUGGAAAGGAAAUUGUGAAUGAAAAGAAAAGAAAGAAAGAAAGAAAAAGUUACUUUAAUGACAUUUUCGAUUAUGUUUAAGCGUAUGACAGUGAAGGUUAGCUAGUGAAAUUAGUUUGUGGCUAUUUAUAGGGUAUUUAAUUUUGAGUGCU
rnacentral:lncRNA from 1 species